rnacentral:lncRNA from 1 species
UCACCUUCCUUUCCCAAAUCCUUUCAGCCUCUGCUUAUAAUCUGUCAUGGAUUGGAAAACUAGAAAAAACAGUUUACAGAGUAUAACAAACUUUGGAGGAGUUAAUCGACUCUAAGUAAAAGAGUAUCUAGCACGGCUGUGGAACAAAGGAGAGACUCACAAACUGUUGAAAGAAUAAAUGAAUGAAUGAAUUCUGUUCAUGAGCUUUAAUAAAACAGCUCUGAGUAGUAACAGUGGAUCAAAUUUAGGCUUCUUGAUGCAGGCAUGGUGUAGAUUACUACUUCUGUAUUGUCCCAGGAGCUCAGCACAUUCCUGCAGAGAUGAUAGGAGCUCAUCUGAUACUUGUCAGGAAUAUUACACACAGGAGCAUUGUUACACAUUUAAUUUAUCUGAGUAAGUCCCUAUAUACUACAUCAAUACUGAAGACAUUAUCUGGUUUAUCACAGAUAUUUAUCUUCUAAUAAUCUUUGUCUUGACUCUUAGAGAUUCUCUGCAUUAAUUCAUAAAAGCAUAGAAACGACUUGCUGGAAAAAUGUAGUUUUUUAUUAUGGGAAAGCCAAAGAAGCCCUUUUGUUGAUUGUUGGCUAUCCCCUCGAGCAGUCUCUUUUCACUGUGCUCUGCACUGCUUAUUGCUCUCUCUAGAGUCAUGAUUCAAAUGUUCUAGGCAAUUUAAAGUCACUAGUGACUCUCAGUCUCUGAGACUGCUUGGGGCAGCUAUCUGAGCCAUCAUUAUGUCACAUUAUGUCUUAACAUUAUGUCCUGCCAACCUGAAGCCCCAGCCUGCAACAAGUACAAUGGCACGCUGGGUUCAGUCUUCACCUGGCUGUUAAUAUUGACUUGAUCUCAGAAGAGCUUUCAAAUGAUACAAACAAAGCCUUUCCUGGAAGCCCUUCAUGUCUACUGCUGUGAUUAUUGAACUAUCACCAUUGCCUACUUUCUGUCAGAUUUUUGAAGACCACAUAGCAAGUAUGCUCUUAGAGUGAGGGGCAGUACAGUAAAUACAGUGGCUCGAGAGUUACAUUGUUGUUACAACUUGACUCCGAAUUAUAUCAGUUGUGUGAUCUUGAGCAAAUUGUUCAAACUUUCAUUUAUUUUUCUCUAUAAUGGGCACCAUAAUAAUACCAAGCAAAUAGGGUAUUAUUAUGGUGAAGACUAAAUCAAGUGUCUUGUAUAUAUUAAGCAUUAACUAAAUGUCAGUCACUUCUGUUUGUAUAAUCUAAUCUUCAAUUAGAAUUAAUAUGGCUUUAAAGUCAAAGAGGGCCAGGUGCCGUGGCUCACACCUGCAAUCCCUUUGGGAGGCCAAAACGGGAAGAUCGUUUGAGACAAGGAGUUUAAGACCAGCCUGGGCAACAAAGUGAGACCCCAUCUCUACAAAAAUUUUUAAAAGUAGCUGACCAUGGUAGCAUAUACUGUAGUCCCAGCUACUCAGAAGGCUGAGGUGGGAGUGUUGCUUGAGCCAAGAAGGUCCAGGCUGCAAUGGGUUAUGAUGGCACCACUGCACUCUAGCCUGGGUGACAGAGCAAGACCCUGUCUCUAAAAAUUAAUUAAUUAAUUAAUUAAUUAAUAAUAAAGUCAAAGAGAUCCAGAUUAGAAUCCUGUUGCUACUUUCAAACUUUAUGAGCAUCUGUUUUUGUCCUGAUAAGCAAAGGCAAAGGUCAGUGCCGAAUGACUUUGCGUAAUGUUACCACCUCUGAAUUAGUGUUGCGUACAUUGCAUGGUGCUAGUACAGUGAAUGUUUCAGCUAGGCCACUGGGUGUGCAAGUAGUGGAUAUUUAUAUUCAGCAUCUAUUCAGGUUGAUCACUGCCUAUGUUGUACUGAUUAUUUCAUAAUUUGAAUAUCAUACCAGGGUAUUAGUAUCAAAGUACCCGUUUGUUGCUUUUGUUGUCAUAUAGUUAGAAACAGAUAUUCAAGAAAUUUUCAAGUAAAACAUUAUUCCCAUCUAUGGGAAACUUCAGAAGCUGCAACAAUUCUAAGAACCAGCUUUUAUCCCUCCAGACACACAUGGAUUCUGUCAAGGGAGUACCCGUAUCUCUUUGACACUACCUACUUAUCAGGCUGCCCCAUAUUUUUUCAUUGUUUUUUAAUUUCCUUUUCUGGCCAGGGGUAUUUUCUGUUCCCUCUUCUUCCCUUGUGCUCUUUUCUUACUAUUAAUUGUUGUAAUUUCUUUGUGUUUUUGAGUUCAAAUUCUUCAGAAGAUCGGAUCAGCCAACUUCUUAUUUUUAGACACUGCUACUCUGUAGAUAGUUCAUCCUUUGUUACAUGUUCACCACAGCUCUGUAGCCAAGACCAGGAAGUGGCUGCAUUACAAGGUACAAAACAUGCCCCCACAACCCCCAGCUCCCGACAUGAGGAAGAUGAGCAGAGCAGUUUCCUCUAAAAUCUGCUUGGCUGGGGCAAGCAUGAUGAUAUCUAUAGGUAAAAGGUAAUGUGCAAGGAUGCCGCGACUCUUGUUUGUUUGACGUUUCACAAUUUUAUUUAUGGAAUCAGUUCUGUUGGAUAGAAUGAUUGCUCAUGAUUUUUGAGGCUUGGAUAUUGGAACUUAGAAAAUAAAUUGAAUUGGGCACUGCGUAAAUGGUCCAGUCAAAGGAAGUGUCUAUUUUGGCCACUUCAUUUAAAACACAGUAAAAUUUAAUUAAAGGACAAUAUUGGUCCAAGAAUGUACCUUUUAAGACACAGCAGUAUAGUAUCAACUCUGUUUGUGUUGUGUCGAACAAAACAAAACAGAUUAAAUACACAAACAAAUAUUAGAAUAUACAAUUGACACUAUGAAAAAAAUUAGUAGUUUUUAAUUCUUAACAAUGGAUGCUAACAAAGAAAUAUUGCUGAAACCAAGGAAAGGCUGAGAAUCAAUUAUUUCAUUCCUGUUUAGUUCUUUGGGCAAGGCAUACUAAUUUGUUAACAAUUUACCUCUUCAUCUUUCUUAGCUUUGAAUAAACUCCAGUCCCCAAGAGAGAGAAUGAGAAUCACCGGAAUACGAAACUUCCCUGUUGGACUUCCCAACAUUCUUGAAUGCACCAAGAUAGCCUCUUGCUGUGAGAUUAAUAAAUGAAUAAAUGCCUCCAUAUUUUUCAAAUCUGUGAAGUUAACAACAUGUAGAUUUUUUUGCAUAUUUAAAAACUGCAACUAAAUCUUAAUGCCUCUGAAGCAGAUGGAAGAAAAUAAUAGGCUUCCAUUAACUGUGUCAAAUUGUAUAGGUCUUGGCCAUCACUGGUCCUGUUGUGAUGAAGGUUUUUUGCCCUUGGAUAUAAUUUAAUUUUCAAUUCUUCUAAUUAUGGUACUUCAGAACAUCAAUAUUUGAGAUGAACUUCUCUAGUGUCAAGGACUGAUUUGAGUUGUGUAAACCCUGAAUAUCUGAGACAGGUCUCGAUUAUUUUAGAAAGUUUAUUUUGCCAAGGUUGAGGAUGUGUGCCUGUGACACGGCCUCGGGAGGUCCUGAGGACAUGUGCUCAAGGUGGUCAGAGCACAGCUUUGCUUUAUACAUUUUAGAGAGACAUGAGACAUCAACCGACAUAUGUAAGAUGAACAUUGGUUCCAUCUGGAAAGGCGAGACAACUUCAAACGAGGAGGGGGCUUCCAGGUCAUAGGUAGAUAAGAGACAAAUGGCUGCAUUCUUUUGAGUUUCUGAUUAGCCUUUCCAAAGGAGGCAAUUAGAGUGAGCAAAAUGAACAAAAUCAAUUAUUUUGAUUCUGAACAAAAUGGGAGGCUGGUUUUCCCUAAGCAGUUCCCAGCUUGACUUUUCCCUUUAGCUGAGGGAUUUGGGGGGCCCAAGAUUUAUUUUUCUUUCACCGUUGUAUCAAACUACACAGGCGGCCUUGGAAACCAUCACAGUUGAGAGUAGGUAACGCCCAUUUGUUGCAUAGUUUUGUGCUCCACACUCUUAUCUACAAAAUUAUGAAUUUUUUUACAUAUAUUAAUUUCAGAAAAACUAAAAAUAAAACAAAGUAGUUUCAAACUAGUAUUGUUUUUAUAUCUUAAAAA